rnacentral:rRNA from 1 species
AACGCGAAGAACCUUACCCGGGCUUGAACUGCCAGAGAACGAUUCAGAGAUGAUGAGGCCCUUCGGGGCUCUGGUGGAGGUGCUGCAUGGUUGUCGUCAGCUCGUGCCGUGAGGUGUCGGCUUAAGUGCCAUAACGAGCGCAACCCCUCUCUUCAGUUGCCAUCAGGUUAAGCUGGGCACUCUGGAGACACUGCCACCGCAAGGUGUGAGGAAGGUGGGGAUGACGUCAAAUCAGCACGGCCCUUACGUCCGGGGCUACACACGUGUUACAAUGGGUGAUACAGAGCGUCGGCUUGCCGCAAGGAGAGUCUAAUCGCGAAAGUCAUCCUCAGUUCGGACUGGGGUCUGCAACCCGACCCCACGAAGCUGGAUUCGCUAGUAAUCGCGCAUCAGCCAUGGCGCGGUGAAUACGUUCCCGGGUCUUGUACACACGC